rnacentral:rRNA from 1 species
AAGGAAGCACACUUAGGUCAUAGAUUAAGCCAUGCAAGUGUAAGUUCAGGGUAACUAAAACUGCGAACAGCUCAUUAACACACUCGGAAUCUAUUUGAUGGCACUCAUUAAGGGUUUAAAUGGAUAGCAGGAGUAAAUCUCGUGCUAAUACAUGCAAGUUGUUUCGCUUGAAAUGAACUAAAGCGGAAAAGUUAACCACAUUGGUACAUCAUUCGACGGAGUGACCUAUCAGCUUGUACUUAGGGUCUUUACCUAGGUAGGCUAUCACGGGUAACGGGCGGUUACCGUCGUACUGCCGGAGAAGGCGCCUGAGAGAUCGCGACUAUACCCAUGGGUAGCAGCAGGCGCGAAACUUUCCCACUCUUCAAAGAAGGAGGGGGUAAUGACCAGUUCUAUUAUAUCCUUAUGGAUUAUUAGAUAGGACCUCGCCUUAACCGCGAGGUGUAACCUAGCAGAGGGCCAGUCUGGUGCCAGCAGCUGCGGUAAUACCAGCUCUGCGAGUUUGCUCCCAUAUUGUUGCAGUUAAAACGCCCGUAGUCUGACUUACCAAUCGGUUUCUAAAGAACUGUGAACAAAUCAGGACGCUUAGAGUAUGUUUAGCAAGAAUGACUUAGCGCAGUCUUUAAUCUUUGCUCUUUUAGGGCAAGCUCAAAGAGAGCCAUCGGGGGUAGAUCUAUUUCAUGGCGAGCGGUGGAAUGCUCUGACCCAUGAGAGAGAAACUAAAGCGAAGGCAUCUACCUAGAGGGUUUCUGUCGAUCAAGGGCGAGAGUAGGAGUAUCGAACCGGAUUAGAGACCCGGGUAGUUCCUACUGUAAACGAUGCCGACAGGGGCUUGUCUUUUUUUAAAGGCAGGACCAUAGGAGAAAUCAUAGUUCAUGGGCUCUGGGGGAACUACGACCGCAAGGCUGAAACUUGAAGGAAUUGACGGAAGGGCACACCAGGGGUGGAGCCUGUGGCUUAAUUUGAAUCAACACGGGGAAACUUACCAGGACCAGAUGUUUUUUAAGACUGACCCACUAAAGAUGGUUCAGGAUAUGACUUGUGGUGGUGCAUGGCCGUUGGUGGUGCGUGGGUUGACCUGUCUAGCGUUGAUUCAGCUAACGAGCGAGAUUAUCGCCAAUUUUUAUAAAUUGGGACUCCCUGCGAUCUAGCAGGCGGAAGAGGGUAGCAAUAACAGGUCCGUGAUGUCCUUUAGAUGCCCUGGGCUGCACGCGUGCUACAAUGUGAGGCUCAAACAGCAGCUAUUUCGAAAGAAAACGCUACUCUGUCAAUACCUCACGUAGUUGGGAUUGACGGUUGUGAUCACCGUCAUGAACCAGGAAUCCCUUGUAAGCGUGUGUCAACAGCGCACGUUGAAUACGUCCCUGCCCUUUGUACACACCGCCCGUCGCUCCUACCGAUUGGAUGACUCGGUGAAAUUGCUUGAUCUUAGGAGAAGGCAAUUAAAUCACGUUAUCUAGAGGAAGGAGAAGUCGUAACAAGGUAACG